CUAUCUGUUAUUUACUUAAGCUGGAACUUCUAUAAUAGAGAAUAAGCUUACGAUGGCUUAAGUGGCCGUGUUUAGGAUCACGAUAAUUUGCUCUUGAAUGAUAGGUCACUGAAGAAUGAAAGAUUGCUCGUUUUUUCUGUGUGUGUGUGUGUGUUAAUCUCCUAUGCAGUCCUCUAGUAAGCAUGAUUUAUAGAAACUGGUCUGAAGGAACAAGUAUGUGCUGUAAAAUCUUUUUCCGGGAAUAUAUAUGUGGUGGUCUUAUUUCAUGAUUUUCUUUUUCUCUAGAUAAUGAGCUAUUGCCCCACUGAUUUAGUGUUAAUUUCUAUUUUAGUAAAAAACAAUAACAAUAAAACACAAAGUUGCACUUGACGAACUCAUUUGGGUUAACAAAUUAACAUUUCCUUUUGUUUCUUUCUGUAUGGUGAUUGUUCAACUUGCAGUGGGACAAUUGAAGGCGACAUAUUAGUUUUACAUUCUUCCCAGUAUGCAGUUACAUACAGCAGUUAAGAAAGCUCAUCUUGGCAUAGUUACAUACCUGAUGUUUUCACAUGAUUCAAGGUUCUUGUACAAAUUUGUGUCCCUCUUUAAAUAAACAUUUUUAAAAAUAUGCACCUGUACUUGAGAAGUUUGAUUAAUUGUUAAACCAUUUGAUUUCGUUUACAGGGCUCUUUUGUCAACAUCUUCUGAUUCAAGUGCAAGAGUGACACUGAUAAGAAGGAAAGAGGUAUGUAUUCCUUGACAAGUUGGUUGUCGACUAGCUGUAGUAUAAUAUUUGCAAGUAUUUAGAAAUGAAAUUUGCUAUAGUAAUAUAUGCAUGUGCAAGUACCUGUCAAAAAAACAAACUAUAAGCAGAGCUAAAUGUUAGUUUCCUUCGAAUUAUUAGAACUGGGUUUAGAAAGUAUAGCCUUGUGAACCAUUUUUAUAUGCCACUGGUACCAUUAACUUGUAGAUUUAAGACUUUAAGCGCAGCUACAGGUUAAAAUAAGUGUGAGACGGAAAGUAAAUAUAUAUGUCAGAAGCAUAUAAUAUGUGUUUAUACAGUUGGCUUAUUUUGAAAUGAUUUGUUAAUUAUCUACUUCUGGUGAACUGCAGGAUUAAGCUUGUGGGCCAUCUUAUUCAUGAUAUUGCUAGUGAUAGCCGUGUAUUACACAAAAUUGGCGGAAUUGCUUUCGUAUAGCAAUCCUACUGCUUGAAAAUGUGUGGAAUAUCUUCCAAGUGGAUCAUGAUAUUUUAAUUCUUCUGUCUUUGAAUUUCAACAAUAUAUUGGAUUUUGUAAUAGAGGAACGCUAUAAAUUAUUUUUAAGUCGUGGAUGAGUGAUGCAAACUUGGAUCAGCGAGUGCUGUUUCAUUUUAUUAUUUUUUUUAAUUCUGGUUAUAGCAAUGGUUAAUUGUAAGCUCUGUACCUGGACAAAUUAGUGAAUGGUGCAUAUAUGUAUUGCUUUUUUUUUUCCCUUGGACGUAGUCACACCAAUGGGCUAUGGUUAAAAGAUAAACUCUUCGGUUGCUCA
rnacentral:lncRNA from 1 species